rnacentral:lncRNA from 1 species
AAUGAAAGACAUUCCAACUCUUUUUUAUAAUAUUUAUUAUAAAAAGCUCCUAAAAAAUAUUUUGUCUGUUUUCCAACAAUUCACAAAUAAAUUUUUAUAUAUAGAGAGAGAGAGAGCACCAAGUGCUUGGUGCUAUCGAGUUUUCUAUCGUUAGAUUUAACUCUUUGACUAUUUUCACUCGUUAGACUAUAUUAUUCAACCAACAACUUACUCAACCUUAAAGAGUCCACAUUAUCCUAACCGUACAUUUCUUCAUCCAAGGGCCGAAAACCUAAUAGCACCGAUAGCUUGGUGCUAUCUGCUAUUAGUAGUAUUCCAUACUAGUAUAUAUAUAUAUAUAUAUAUAUAUAUAUAUAUAUAUAUAGAGUAGGGCUACUAUACUCUUAUGAGUAGUGGACCCUUACUACUCAUAAGUUGUUUUCGAUGAUGGAGCUUCCGAAUCGACGAUCCACUCCGUUAAAUAUGAUCUAGAGCAUUUAAAACUUCUAGAAAUUAAAUUUCAUAAUUUUUCGACAUCAUUUACCCUAUGAUCAAAAGCUCACAAAAUUGAUAAUUUUUAACGGCCGGUAUGGGAUACUUGCUAGUUUAACGGUGGAAAAGAAUCGGAAUAGGUUGAAUUUUUGAUAGAAAAUUCUAUUCACUACCUAGAUAAAGAUCAAUAACUCCGAUCUUAAAUUGAGGGAUCCGAUCAUCCAUUUUUAGGACGUCGUUCGAUUUUGACCGUUCAUUUUAUGCCCGCUUGAUGGACUUUAUUAUGAUUUCGAAAAAUUACGAAAUUUAUUUUCUAGAAGUUUCAAAUACUCUAGAUCAUAUUUAACGGAGUGGAUCGUCGAUUCGGAAGCUCUAUCAUCGAAAACAACUUAUGAGUAGUAAGGGUCCACUACUCAUAAGAGUAUAGUAGCCCUACUCUAUCUAUAUAUAUAUAUCGAUCAGCGCGCGAUGAAACUUUAUAAC